AUUGAACGCUAGCGGGAUGCUUUACACAUGCAAGUCGAACGAGUGGCGGACGGGUGAGUAAUAUAUCGGCACGUGCCCAGUCGCGGGGUCUAACUACUCGAACGCGUGGCUAAUACCGCAUACUAUUGUAUCGGCUGAUAUCGGAUUAGCUAGUUGGUGGGGUAAAGGCUCACCAAGGCAACGAUCCGUAGCUGGUUUGAGAGGACGACCAGCCACACUGGGACUGAGACACGGCCCAGACUCCUACGGGAGGCAGCAGUGGGGAAUUGUGGACAAUGGGGGAAAGCCUGAUCCAGCCAUCCCGCGUGUAUGAGAAGGCCUUCGGGUUGUAAAGUACUUUUGGCAGAGAAGCGGUAUCUGCAGAAUAAGCACCGGCUAACUACGUGCCAGCAGCCGCGGUAAUUC
rnacentral:rRNA from 1 species